rnacentral:rRNA from 1 species
ACGAGAGGGCCGCUACCACGCGAGUGGAUGCCAAUCCCAAAAACCUCUCUCAGUUCGGACUGGAGUCUGCAACCCGACUCCACGAAGCUGGAUUCGCUAGUAAUCGCGCAUCAGCCACGGCGCGGUGAAUACGUUCCCGGGCCUUGUACACACCGCCCGUCAAGCCAUGGGAGCCGGGGGUACCUGAAGUGCGUAACCGCGAGGAGCGCCCUAGGGUAAAACUGGUGACUGGGGCUAAGUCGUAACAAGGUAGC